rnacentral:rRNA from 1 species
UGGGGAAUAUUGCACAAUGGGGGAAACCCUGAUGCAGCGACGCCGCGUGAACGAAGAAGGUAUUCGUAUCGUAAAGUUCUGUCCUAUGGGAAGAUAAUGACAGUACCAUAGAAGAAAGCUCCGGCUAAAUACGUGCCAGCAGCCGCGGUAAUACGUAUGGAGCGAGCGUUGUCCGGAAUUAUUGGGCGUAAAGGGUACGCAGGCGGUUUAAUAAGUCGAAUGUUAAAGAUCGGGGCUCAACCCCGUAAAGCAUUGGAAACUGAUAAACUUGAGUAGUGGAGAGGAAAGUGGAAUUCCUAGUGUAGUGGUGAAAUACGUAGAUAUUAGGAGGAAUACCAGUAGCGAAGGCGACUUUCUGGACACAAACUGACGCUGAGGUACGAAAGCGUGGGGAGCAAAAAGG